UACGAAGGGGGCUAGCGUUGCUCGGAAUCACUGGGCGUAAAGCGCACGUAGGCGGCUUUCUAAGUCAGGGGUGAAAUCCUGGAGCUCAACUCCAGAACUGCCUUUGAUACUGGAGAGCUUGAGUCCGGAAGAGGUGAGUGGAACUCCGAGUGUAGAGGUGAAAUUCGUAGAUAUCGGGAGGAACACCGGCGGCGAAAGCGGCCACCUGGACGAGGACUGACGCUGAGAUGCGAAAGCGUGGGGAGCAAACAGG
rnacentral:rRNA from 1 species